CCUACGGGAGGCAGCAGUGAGGAAUAUUGGUCAAUGGACGAGAGUCUGAACCAGCCAAGUAGCGUGAAGGAUGACUGCCCUAUGGGUUGUAAACUUCUUUUAUAUGGGAAUAAAAUGUUCCACGUGUGGGAUUUUGUAUGUACCAUAUGAAUAAGGAUCGGCUAACUCCGUGCCAGCAGCCGCGGUAAUACGGAGGAUCCGAGUGUUAUCCGGAUUUAUUGGGUUUAAAGGGAGCGUAGGUGGAUUGUUAAGUCAGUUGUGAAAGUUUGCGGCUCAACCGUAAAAUUGCAGUUGAAACUGGCAGUCUUGAGUACGGUAGAGGUGGGCGGAAUUCGUGGUGUAGCGGUGAAAUGCUUAGAUAUAACGAAGAACUCCGAUUGCGAAGGCAGUUCACUGGACUGCAACUGACACUGAGGCUCGAAAGUGUGGGUAUCAAACAGGAUUAGAUACCCUUGUAGUC
rnacentral:rRNA from 1 species